AACAUGCCUUUGUGAUGCCACAACCUGUGAUGAGAGGAAGUGAGGUAAAUGAUGUAGGCACCGCUAGCACUGUGACACUGUGUCAACCAGAUAACAAAGACAGCCAGUAAGGGACUAACAGGCAGGAGCAUAUACAGCAUGGAUAUGUCAGACAGAGGGAUGGACUGGGCAGGAUGAAGCAGGAUGGUGCAAGAUAUUAUCAUGCUACUCAGAAAGGUUAGAACUCUGCUGUGUGUGCUUUACACUGGCUCCCAGAGUCUCUGCAGCAGAAUCAAGCUCUGGAACUCAGCUGGGUCUGUAUGAACUAAGGCAAGAAAAGGAACAAAGGUUGAGAGGCUUAGAGAAGAGCAAGCUUCCUUUUGAUAUGACUUCUCUAGAAAACCAGAAAGAUGCAUUACUCAGAUUAAUUAGAGUUUUUCAAGAUGGCUGACUGAAAAAUUAAUGUACAGAAAAGCAAUUCUGGGAGAGGGGAGGGAGAGGAGAGGAAGGGAAUCUUAAAAAAAUCAGAUGUAUUAUGUGCAUGCACCACUCCCCACAAUAAAUGUAAUCAUAUACUGCAGACAUUUGCUAAUAAAAAUAAAACAUUUUAAAAAUCAACCUUUCUACCAGCAACAAAUGAUGAGAAAAGGAAAUUUGUAAAAAGGUUUGCUUCAAUCAAGCAUAAAAAUCAAAUACCGAUGAAUAAAUAUAAAAGAUGGCCAAGAUCUCUACACAGAAC
rnacentral:lncRNA from 1 species